AUGGACAAAAAUGUCAUUUUUUCUCCAAAAAUUGAGAAAAACGUCAUAGUUUAGUAUUUCAUAUGAAAAUGGGAAAAAAAGUCAUAAAUUUAUAUGUCAUCGGAAAAUGGAUAAAAAACAUCAUAGUUUAGUUUGUAUGUCGACAAAAAAGGCGCUUUUUUUCCAACAUGUCGUAAAAACGUGCCAUAUGAUGAAAUAAUGUAAAGGAGACCGUGAAAGAGCGCCUACAUAGCUCAACAGGUUAGGCAGGCAACCCCAUGUACAGGGACUGGUCCCUGAUGCAGCAGCCUGGGUUUGGUUCCUACCUUUGCCUUAUGUCCUCCGCCUAAACUUCUCCCUGUUUUCUGUCACUAUUCACUGCUACUUCCAAAAGAAAGUGUUUUUUAAAAAAAUGGACAAAAACAUCAUAGUUUAGUAUGUCGUCCGAAAAUGGACAAAAACGUCAUAGUUUAGUAUGUCAGCCAAAAAUGGACAAAAACGUCAUAGUUUAGUAUGUCAGCCAAAAAUGGACAAAAACGUCAUAGUUUAGUAUGUCAUCGGAAAAUGGAUAAAAAACAUCAUAGUUUAGUUUGUAUGUCGACAAAAAAGGCGAUUUUUUUCCAACAUGUCUUACAAACGUGCCAUAUGAUGAAAUAAUGUAAAGGAGAGCAUGAAAGAGCGCCCACAUAGCUCAACAGGUUAAGCAGGCAACCCUGUGUACAGGGGCUGGUCCCUGAUGCAGUGGCCCGGGUUCGAUUCCUACCUUUGCCUUAUGUCCUCCCCCUAUACUUCUCCCUGUUUUCCGUCACUAUUCACUGCUACUUCCAAAAGAAAGUCUUUUCAAAAAUGUUAUAGUUACCUCCGCCAAGGAGGUUAUGUGACACCCGGCGUUUGUGUGUCUGACUGUUAGCAAGAUAACUCAAAAGCCUGGGCAGAUUCACUUGAAAUUUUGAGGGGCUGUAGACUAUGGUAAGAGGAAGAGCUGAUUUAAUUCUGGUGGCAAUCCGGAAAGGAUCCUUGAUUCUGGAUCACUUUGAAUUUUAUAUUUAGUAUGUUUUAGUAUGUGGUCCAAAAUAUGACAAAAACAUCAUAGGUUAAUAUGUCGUCCAACAAAUGGGAGCAAGGUGUCCGGAUAGCUCAACUGGUUAAGAAGGUGAUUCAUAAACAGAACUAUGUCAGAGAUGCAGGUUCGAUUCCAGCUCAUGAUCCUUUACUGCAUGGGUUUCCUGUUUUCCUCUCUAUCCUUGGCGGAGGUCUGCACUCUCUGACUGCUUUUCUAGUUUAAUAUGACGUCCAAAAAUGGACAAUAAACGUCAUAGUUUAGUAUAUCGUCCGAAAAUGGACAAAAAACGUCAUAGUUUAGUACAUCGUCCGAAAAUGUACAAAAAACGUCAUAGUUUACUAUGACGUCUGAAAAUGUACAACAACGUCAUAGUUUAGUAUGUCAUCUGAAAAUGGACAAAAACGUCAUAGUUUAGUAUGUCAUCCAAAAAUGGACAGAAACGUCAUAGUUUAGUAUGACAUCCGAAAAUGGACAAAA